rnacentral:rRNA from 1 species
UACGGGGGGGGCAAGCGUUGUUCGGAAUUACUGGGCGUAAAGGGCUCGUAGGCGGCCGUUUUAGUCCGACGUGAAAUCCCACGGCUCAACCGUGGAACUGCGUCGGAUACUGAAUGGCUUGAAUCCAAGAGAGGGAUGCGGAAUUCCAGGUGUAGCGGUGAAAUGCGUAGAUAUCUGGAGGAACACCGGUGGCGAAGGCGGCAUCCUGGAUUGGCAUUGACGCUGAGGAGCGAAAGCCAGGGGAGCAAACGGG